GACGAACGCUGGCGGCGUGCUUAGCACAUGCAAGUCGAGCGGUAAGGCCCUUUCGGGGGUACACGAGCGGCGAACGGGUGAGUAACACGUGGGUGACCUGCCCUCAGCUCUGGGAUAAGCCUGGGAAACCGGGUCUAAUACCGGAUAUGACUCCAUGACGCAUGUUGUGGGGUGGAAAGCCUUGUGCGGCUGAGGAUGGGCCCGCGGCCUAUCAGCUUGUUGGGGGGUGAUGGCCAACCAAGGCGACGACGGGUAGCCGGCCUGAGAGGGCGACCGGCCACACUGGGACUGAGACACGGCCCAGACUCCUACGGGAGGCAGCAGUGGGGAAUCUUGCGCAAUGGGCGAAAGCCUGACGCAGCGACGCCGCGUGAGGGAUGACGGCCUGGU
rnacentral:rRNA from 1 species